rnacentral:rRNA from 1 species
AUUGAACGCUAGCGGGAUGCUUUACACAUGCAAGUCGAACGGCAGCGCGGACUUCGGUCUGGCGGCGAGUGGCGAACGGGUGAGUAAUGUAUCGGAACGUGCCCAGUAGCGGGGGAUAACUACGCGAAAGCGUAGCUAAUACCGCAUACGCCCUACUGGGGAAAGCAGGGGAUCGUAAGACCUUGCACUAUUGGAGCGGCCGAUAUCGGAUUAGCUAGUUGGUGAGGUAACGGCUCACCAAGGCGACGAUCCGUAGCUGGUUUGAGAGGACGACCAGCCACACUGGGACUGAGACACGGCCCAGACUCCUACGGGAGGCAGCAGUGGGGAAUUUUGGACAAUGGGGGCAACCCUGAUCCAGCCAUCCCGCGUGUGUGAUGAAGGCCUUCGGGUUGUAAAGCACUUUUGGCAGGAAAGAAACGUCGCGGGCUAAUACCCCGUGGAACUGACGGUACCUGCAGAAUAAGCACCGGCUAACUACGUG